CACGUAGGGGGCGAGCGUUGUCCGGAUUUAUUGGGCGUAAAGAGCUCGUAGGCGGUUUCGUUAGUCGGGUGUGAAAACCCCAGGCUCAACCUGGGGACGCCACCCGAUACUGCGAUGACUAGAGUCCGGUAGGGGAGUGUGGAAUUCCUGGUGUAGCGGUGAAAUGCGCAGAUAUCAGGAGGACCACCAACGGCGAAGGCAGCACUCUGGGCCGGAACUGACGCUGAGGAGCGAAAGCGUGGGUAGCGAACAGG
rnacentral:rRNA from 1 species